UGGGGAAUAUUGCACAAUGGGCGCAAGCCUGAUGCAGCAACGCCGCGUGAGGGACGACGGCCUUCGGGUUGUAAACCUCUUUUAGCAGGGAAGCGGUACCUGCAGAAAAAGCACCGGCUAACUACGUGCCAGCAGCCGCGGUAAUACGUAGGGUGCAAGCGUUGUCCGGAAUUAUUGGGCGUAAAGAGCUCGUAGGCGGUUUGUCGCGUCUGCUGUGAAACCCGAGGCUCAACCUCGGGCCUGCAGUGGGUACGGGCAGACUAGAGUGCGGUAGGGGAGAUUGGAAUUCCUGGUGUAGCGGUGGAAUGCGCAGAUAUCAGGAGGAACACCGAUGGCGAAGGCAGAUCUCUGGGCCGAACUGACGCUGAGGAGCGAAAGCAUGGGGAGCGAACAGGAUUAGAUACCCCGGUAGU
rnacentral:rRNA from 1 species